UACGUAGGGGGCAAGCGUUGUCCGGAUUUAUUGGGCGUAAAGAGCGUGUAGGCGGCUUGGUAGGUCCGCUGUGAAAACUCGAGGCUCAACCUCGAGAUGUCGGCGGAAACCACUUGGCUAGAGUCCGGAAGAGGAGAGUGGAAUUCCCGGUGUAGCGGUGAAAUGCGCAGAUAUCGGGAAGAACACCUAUGGCGAAGGCGGCCCCCUGGUUGGAUACUGACGCUGAGACGCGAAAGCGUGGGGAGCAAACAGG
rnacentral:rRNA from 1 species